AAUCAACGCUGGCGGCGUGCCUCAGACAUGCAAGUCGAACGCGAAAGUUCCCUUCGGGGAGCGAGUAGAGUGGCGCACGGGUGAGUAACACGUAGGUAAUCUACCUUCGGAUGGGGAAUAACAACCGGAAACGGUUGCUAAUACCGCAUAAUGCAGCGGCACCUAAUGGUGACAGUUGUUAAAGCGGGGGAUCGAAAGACCUCGCGUCUGAAGAGGAGCCUGCGGCGGAUUAGCUAGUUGGUAAGGUAACGGCUUACCAAGGCGACGAUCCGUAGCCGGCCUGAGAGGGCGGUCGGCCACACUGACACUGACAUACGGGUCAGACUCCUACGGGAGGCAGCAGGUCGGGAAUUUUGGGCAAUGGGCGAAAGCCUGACCCAGCAACGCCGCGUGAAGGAUGAGAUCCCUCGGGA
rnacentral:rRNA from 1 species